rnacentral:tRNA from 1 species
GCCGAAGUGGCGAAAUUGGCAGACGCGGCAGACUCAAAAUCUGCAGGGGUUCAGAGCCCCGUGAGGGUUCAACUCCCUCCUUCGGCA